GCUGUCUGUGAUGUCAAUCUAAAUACCUUACCUACCUUGUUUGAGUUACCUCUGAAAAUAAACAAAUAUCUGAGACAUGC